rnacentral:rRNA from 1 species
CCUACGGGAGGCUGCAGUGGGGAAUAUUGGACAAUGGGGGCAACCCUGAUCCAGCCAUGCCGCGUGUGUGAAGAAGGCCCUCGGGUUGUAAAGCACUUUCAGUGAGGAAGAACGCCUGGUGGUUAAUACCCAUCAGGAAAGACAUCACUCACAGAAGAAGCACCGGCUAACUCCGUGCCAGCAGCCGCGGUAAUACGGAGGGUGCGAGCGUUAAUCGGAAUUACUGGGCGUAAAGCGCGCGUAGGUGGCUUGAUAAGCCGGUUGUGAAAGCCCCGGGCUCAACCUGGGAACGGCAUCCGGAACUGUCAAGCUAGAGUGCAGGAGAGGAAGGUAGAAUUCCCGGUGUAGCGGUGAAAUGCGUAGAGAUCGGGAGGAAUACCAGUGGCGAAGGCGGCCUUCUGGACUGACACUGACAUUGAGGUGCGAAAGCGUGGGUAGCAAACAGGAUUAGAUACCCCAGUAGUC